AGUGCCUACGGGAGGCAGCAGUGAGGAGUAUUGGUCAAUGGUCGGGAGACUGAACCAGCCAAGCCGCGUGAGGGAUGAAGGUACAGAGUAUCGUAAACCUCUUUUGUCAGGGAACAAAGGCGGGGACGCGUCCCCGGAUGAGUGUACCUGAAGAAAAAGCAUCGGCUAACUCCGUGCCAGCAGCCGCGGUAAUACGGAGGAUGCGCGCGUUAUCCGGAUUUAUUGGGUUUAAAGGGUGCGCAGGCGGUCUGUUAAGUCAGCGGUCCAAGCCCGUGGCUCAACCCCGGCCCGCCGUUGAAACUGGG
rnacentral:rRNA from 1 species